rnacentral:rRNA from 1 species
AGCUCGUAAUUGGAUUCCUGACCUGGGGUAGCCGGUCCGCCUUGCCAAGGUGCCCACUGAACGGCCUCGGUCAUCCUUGAGGAAAGCGGUCCUGGCAUUCAGUUGUCGGGGUCGGGAUUCUCGACGUUUACUGUGAUUUUUCAUAGUGUUCAUCGCAUGCUUACGCCUUGAAUGCAUUACCCUGGAAUAAUGAGAUAGGACCUUGGCAGCCUAUUUUGUUGGUUUGCACGCCGAGGUAAUGACUAAAAGGGACGGUUGGGGGUCUUCGUAUUCAAUUGUCCAAGGUGAAAUUCUUGCAUUUAUGGACGACGAACUGCUGCGAAACCGUCCAACAAGGACGUUCUCAUUAAUCAAUAACGAAUGUUAGGGGAUCGAAGAUGAUUAGAUACCAUCCUAGUCUUAACCAUAAUCUAUGCCGAUACCCGAUUGGCGAUCGUUUGUUCUCGACUCCGUCAGCACUGUAUGAGAAAUCAAAAUCUUUGGGUUCCGGGGGGAGUAUGGUCGCAAGGAUGAAACUUAAAGAAAUUGACGGAAGGGCACCCCCAGCAGUGGAACCUGCAACUUAAUUUGACCCCACACGGUAUAAACUUACCAGGUCCAGACGUAGUAAGGAUUGACUGAUUGAAAGCUCCUUCUUGAUUCUAUGGGUGGUGGUGCAUGUUCGUUCUUAUUUGGUGGAGUGAUUUGUCUGGUUAAUUCCGUUAACGAACGAGACCCCCGCCUGCUAACUAAGUGCGGUAAUGCACUUGAAUUGCUGCAACUUCUUAUAGGGACUUUCGGUGACUAACCGAAGGAAGCUGGAUGGCAAUAACAGGUCUGUGAU